AUAACGUAGCGAAAGUUACGCUAAUACCGCAUAUCUGUGAGCAGGAAGCAGGGGAUCGCAAGACCUUGCGCUUUGGGAGCGGCCGAUGUCGGAUUAGCUAGUUGGUGGGGUAAAGGCCUACCAAGGCGACGAUCCGUAGCGGGUCUGAGAGGAUGAUCCGCCACACUGGGACUGAGACACGGCCCAGACUCCUACGGGAGGCAGCAGUGGGGAAUUUUGGACAAUGGGCGAAAGCCUGAUCCAGCCAUGCCGCGUGAGUGAAGAAGGCCUUCGGGGUUGUAAAAGCUCUUUCGGUGGGGAAGAAAUUGCACGGGUUAAUACCCUGUGUAGAUGACGGUACCUAGAGAAGAAGCACCGGCUAACUACGUGCCAGCAGCCGCGGUAAUACGUAGGGUGCGAGCGUUAAUCGGAAUUACUGGGCGUAAAGCGUGCGCAGGCGGUUUUGGUAAGUCAGAUGUGAAAUCCCCGGGCUCAACUUGGGAACUGCAUUUGAGACUGCCAAGCUGGAGUUUGGCAGA
rnacentral:rRNA from 1 species